UGAUACACCUCCUUAAAUAUCAAUGUGGUCAGCUACUUCAAGUGCAUAACAUCUCUUCUGCAGGGCUCCAGUGUGCGAACUCUUCAUCAUGUGGAAUCCAAACCAAGGUACCUAUUAUGGACCACCCCCAGCCUAUGUCCCUCCACCAGGGACCUAUGUAGUGGCUCCUGUACCCUAUGCUUACCCAGGAUAUCAAGCACCACCUCCUCCAGCUGGCUAUGUAUGUGUAUGUAGUCCUGCCUGUCCAUCUGGCUUUCCCUGUUAUCAUUAUGGACCUCAUCACCGUCAUCAUCACCAUCACCACCACCAUAAC